rnacentral:rRNA from 1 species
AUACGGAGGGUCCGAGCGUUAAUCGGAAUUACUGGGCGUAAAGCGCGCGUAGGUGGUUCAGUCAGUCAGAUGUGAAAGCCCCGGGCUCAACCUGGGAACUGCACCUGAUACUGCUGAGCUAGAGUACGGUAGAGGGCAGUGGAAUUUCCGGUGUAGCGGUGAAAUGCGUAGAGAUCGGAAGGAACACCAGUGGCGAAGGCGACUGCCUGGACUGAUACUGACACUGAGGUGCGAAAGCGUGGGUAGCAAACAGGAUUAGAUACCCCGGUAGUCCACGCCGUAAACGAUGUCAACUAGCCGUUGGGGGACUUGAUCCUUUAGUGGCGAAGCUAACGCGAUAAGUUGACCGCCUGGGGAGUACGGCCGCAAGGUUAAAACUCAAAUGAAUUGACGGGG